UACAGAGGUCUCAAGCGUUGUUCGGAUUUACUGGGCGUAAAGGGCGCGCAGGCGGCGCAUUUUGUCAGGCGUGAAAGCCCCGGGCUUAACCUGGGAACUGCGUUUGAUACGGAUGGGCUAGAGUUCGGGAGAGGAGAGUGGAAUUCCCAGUGUAGAGGUGAAAUUCGUAGAUAUUGGGAAGAACACCGGUGGCGAAGGCGGCUCUCUGGACCGAGACUGACGUUGAGGCGCGAAAGCGUGGGGAGCAAACAGG
rnacentral:rRNA from 1 species